rnacentral:lncRNA from 1 species
CAUGUGGAGUUUGUUACGGAGAGUAGUGGUGUCCGUUGUCGUGACUUGCCAGAGAGUGGUGGGGCCACAUGGAGUUUGUUACGGAGAGUAGUGGUGUUCGUUGUCGCGACUUGUCAGAAAGUGGUGGGGCCACGUGGAGUUUGUUACGGAAGGUGGAGUGAUGUCCGUUGUCGCGAUUUGCCGAAAAAUUCGGACCGGAUGGCUGAAGCUCGGUUGGGACGUCUGG